rnacentral:lncRNA from 1 species
UUUUGAUCCCAAAUUGCAUGUAUUAAGUCAUUAUUAAUUUAUCUCACAUUUCUUAUUAAUCAAAGACAUAGAUAGCUGCCCCUCAGAGCUUCUGAUCUGUGUGACCAGCUGGGAGCUGCACGUGGUUGACAUAAUUCCAGCCAGAGGCAAAGGAACUCCGCAAUGUGUGUGGUCUGGGUGGCCUGAGAAGGUCUAAAUGUAGAUGCAUCGUCCUCCUUUUCUUUUCAUCGGCCAUGAGCCUUGCCUGGGUGGGGGCUGCUUUCACAGUCACUCACUGAUGGGCCAGAGGCUGAGUUUUCAGUGCCAGGCUCUAGCAAGGGUCCCCGUGCGGGUCCCAGACUCCUCCUCCCACAGAACUCACUCCAAAUAGAUGGCAUGCACCAGCACCACGCAGAAGAGCGUGGGGUUCACCUAGUGGGACGUGGCAGAGCUGUCUUCAUGCGGGUCCCACAGGCUCUGGCUGGAGAUUGCCAUGUUGUCCUACCCCUCGCUCCUGAUGCUGACAGAGCACACUAGCUUGUAGCCGGGCCGGGUGACAGCCGUGACGAGGUCCCAGGUCGCGGUGCUCAGCACCACUGCCAGGUGAGAGGGCAGGCCACAUUGGCAAGCUUGGAGGGCAGGUGAGCCUCCAUCAGCUCUUCCUCCCACACUCAGGGGAACUUCAACUCUGGCCUGGCCGACCGCAAGGGAACCCAGAAGGAGGAGAGGAGGGAGGUGAUGGUGGGAGAACAUGGAAUUUGGGUUUGAAGCCCAUUAUGUUGAACAUAGACCCCUGAGUUGGAGCCUACAGUUUGGAAUAGUGGGAUGGAAAAUGGAACACAGAACCUGGAACACAAGAAAAUAACUUUGUCUUCUGCUGUGCAGAGAUUAACCUGGCUUCCAAGUGGCUCAGCCUAUAUGUGCCCUGGGGCCCAUGGCCCUGACUCCCCUCGCUCUCCCUGCACCCCUAGGCCACUGGCCCCCACCUGCUCCUGGAUGAUGCUGACGGGGCCGUGGUGAGUCAGCUGGGGCUGAGACAGUGUUCUCAAGGAUGUGCGCUUCUGCAAGUGAAGAUGAGCGUGGAGGGGCAGCAGGAGUCUCUGUCAAGAAGUGACAACCCUCAGAGAGCUGCCCCCGAACCUCCAGAAUGUCUCCACUGGCUCCAGCUGGCCAGCCCUGAAGCCUGUCCAAGUCUCCCCGUGUUAACAGAACAGAGCGACAGCCUGCCUCCCCUCACGGCUGCAGAGGAGCGCCCAGCCAUCGCAGCCUCUGGCUCCCUGGAAUGCCGCCCCCUGCCUCCCUCCCCUCGCCCUCCACCCACUGCCGUCCUGCACCCAGCACGUGCUCUCCAUAAGUCCCUGGUGUACAGAGGUCAUUUUUCAGCAGCGUUGGAUGCCGUUGUCAAUUCCCUCCUUUCGGAGCCUCAGUUUCCUCAAUGGCAUAAUUCCUACCUCACUAGAUUACCCUGAGGACUAAGUAACUCCUUCAUUCAUGUUUUCGGCAAACAUUUCUGAACACCCGCUUGUGUGCAGGCUUUCUGCUGGGCUCUUGAGGACCCUGACUUUGGAGAUGGCCACAGUCUCCCGGGGGCCACAGAUGCUGGUAUAAACAAUGUGAAGAGCCUGGCACUCUGCCUGUGACAUAGUAGACACUCAGUGUGUGUGGGGCUCUGUCGUGUCUUUCUGCCCCCUCUGGGCCUCAGUUUCCAUAGCCAGAAAUGGAUAGGAAGAGGGGGUUGGACUUGCUCUCUGAAGUCCCCUCCAGCCCUGGUGGCCCAAGGCCCUGGGCCCCACUUCUCAGGCUGCCUCGUGUGUCCCCUACCCCCAGCCCGUCCCUCUCACCUUGAGCUCCCAGGUGAGCCUGUGAGCAGGGAGGAGGCUGCCGAGGCCAAGCAUGGCAGCUUCUACUUCUGGACUCUCUGAAGCUUGGCUGCUCCCUUCUUAACGGGGGACCUGAUGAGGGAGCACUGCUCCCCUGCCCAGGAUGGGCUGUGGCCUGAGAGGAACAUAGGUGGGCAGGUUGGAGGCAGGAGGGACCUGGCUUCUCAAGGAGGAAGGCUGCAGGGUGCUUGGCCCACUCAGCCACUCCAGGCAUCCCCAACCCUCGGCCCCAGUCGCGCCCAGUGCCGACCUCCUCUUCCUCCCUACACAUGGUCUCGGCAAGGGUAGAACCAGUGUCGGGGUGGGAAGGCAGGCCUCUGAGCUGGUCAGGCGUAGGUUCAAGUGUCUGCUCUGUGCACGAGCAGCUGUGUGAUCUCGGGCAAAUCACCUCACUUCUCUGAACACCACUUUCCUCCUCCCUAAGCUGGGGACACUUCUAUUCCAUCUCUCAACAGAUAUCCCCAAGUGCUUAAUCUAUGCUGUGGACUGAAAGACAGCGGCAACAGCGUGCAGACCCCUGCUGUCCCAGUAGUGGCGUGCUGGGGGAGACAGAUGGCUGACAGCCAGGGCCUCACAGGGCAGUCCUGAUCCAGGGCUGUUUGGAAAUGUUGGGGACACUAACACCUCCUCACAGAGCUGCGAGGCUCGAGUGGGAUAAGGUGCACAAGGUAGCACGCGUUGGCCUGGCAGAUGGUGGGUGCUCAAUCAGUGCUUGUUGGAUAAAUGAACCAAUAAAAGCACUUCUCUCUGAGCCCUGAUUACCAGUGAAAUGGAGCUGAGGGUCCUUUCCUUGGAAAGUUGUUAUAAAGGUUUCUAACUUUGUUUAAAUUAAUGAAUUUAAAUUAAUAAAUAGAGCUUACUACAUGCCAUGUACUCUUCUCCUAAACCCUUUGCAAGUUUUAACUCAUUAUUCUCAUUUUACAGAUGAGGAGACUGAGGCACAGAGGGUAAGGUUAAGGAACCUGCCCAAGGUCCCAUAGCUCGGAUGUGGCUGGAUAUGAAUGUGCCUGGCAAACAGUAGGAGCUCAAUAGUUGCUUUAUUGUGGGGCAGGGAGGUUUUAGGCUUGGUAUCCAGUGCAAGCUGGGUGGUCAGGAAGGCUCCCAUGCUGAGCUGUUCUCGGUACCUGAGCUCUGGGUGUGAAUGAGUAGCUGAGGGGAGUUGGUGAGGAGUGGAGGGUGGUGGGAAGGAUGAGAAGGGAUGAGGACAAGGGGGCCAGGGGUGUAAGUGGCAGCAGUAAAACACUUCAGACAACACCCUGGAGUCAUAAUCCCGGAGCAGCCACUCCGGCAGCCUCUCCUGAGUCAGGGAAGGGUGCCAGGGCAGGAUCCCAUAGUAAC